rnacentral:lncRNA from 1 species
GAUGAUUUAAGUAAAUAAUGACUUUGCAAGAUCUUUGCAAAGUCACAAUUAUUUUGAAUGACUCUGGAAUUUGAGAAAUUAAAAAGGUAUUAUAUUUUGAAGAAUUUUAUGAGUUUGGUAGUAGAUUUAUAGUUCAAAUUUUGAAAACAUAUGAAAAUAGUUUUUUUAAGUAUAUAUUAUAAGUUUGAGCUUAAUAAAACAAUUGAAUAGAAGGUUAUUGAAUUUCAAAUAGGUUGAAGUCUCAAAAAUUAGACUUUAAGAGAUAAUUAGGAUUUCUAAGAUUUUUAGCAGUUUAUUAGUUGGAUUGAAAUAAAAUUUAUAUAUAAAGAUAAUAUAAUUAGUUUUCUACAUAUAUGUAAAAUUUGAGAAUAAUUAAAUGGUUUAAAAAGGAGAUAUUAGCAUUGGAAGUUCAAUAUUUAGAUUGGAGUAGGAGGCUAGCUAGCAACUGAGUGGAUUUUAAGAUUUUUCUUCCAUUUGGUAUGUGCGAUUAACUUCAAAUUUUGUGUGCUUAUUGCUAAUUUAUUUGUUGAAAAGUGUGUAAAUAUUUAAGUAAGAUCAAUAGUUUGAUUGAUAGAUAUUGACAUUAUAAACAUUACUAGGGAUAGAUUGAGUUGAUUAGGAUUUGGUAAGGAUUUAGUUUAGAGUUAGGAUUUGGUUUAGGAUUUGAUUUAGGCUUUAAGAUUUGUUUAGGAAUUCAUUUAGGGUUUAAGAUUUGUUUAGGAUUUGAUUUAGGAUUUAAGGUUUGUCUAGAGUUUGGUCUAAGAUUUGAUCUAAGAUUAAGGAUUUAUCUAAAUUAACCUUAGACAAAAUCUUAGAUAAAUCUAAGGUUUAAGGAUCUUAGAUUUAUCUUAGAAAAAUUUGUCUAAGAUUUGAUCUAAGAUUAAGGAUUUAU